UACGAAGGGUGCAAGCGUUACUCGGAAUUACUGGGCGUAAAGCGUGCGUAGGCGGUUCGUUAAGUCUGCUGUGAAAGCCCUGGGCUCAACCUGGGAAUGGCAUUGGAAACUGGCGGCCUAGAGUGCGGUAGAGGGUAGUGGAAUUCCCGGUGUAGCAGUGAAAUGCGUAGAGAUCGGGAGGAACAUCUGUUGCGAAGGCGACUGGCUGGACCAGCACUGACACUGAGGCACGAAAGCGUGGGGAGCAAACAGG
rnacentral:rRNA from 1 species